CGAAACCGGCGCCCGGGCUCCCCUCCCCAGGCCCGCGGCCAGCCCAGCUCCUGCACCCAGCCUGCAUCUGCCUGCAGGGAGGGGGCUGCAGCCUGGUGCUUUGAACCGGGUCUGGAAACGUUUAGGAAACGGUCGAGACCAGCACUGAGUUUGGCGCGGCGUUGUCCAGUGACUCACGGGUCUGUUCCGGGGCUGACCUCCCGCGGCUCAGGCGCAUCCUCUGGGUCUUGCUCUAAAGGAGCCGAUAGUCAUUGUCCUGCUGCAGAGAGAGAAGAAGAGCCCGAGUAAACACGGCAAGAAACAAAGUCCAGGGCCACGGCACAAAAACGAACAAAAAAGCGCCCCGGUUUAUGAUGAUGAUGAUGAUGAAGAAUUACUAACCUGCUCUGUUUCAUUAGAGUCGCACCAUGAGUGUAGUUGACUCGGAUCCGUAGCAAGAGAAUACUGAAUGUUUCUAUACGCUCAUCUUCAAAACUUCAGACCUACUUCUUGGCAUUUAAUGAUGAAGUUUUGCAAACCAAAAAACCUGUCUAGAGCAGACUGGAGCUGGGACAAACUCCCAAGUCUGCAGUGCUUAUUAUUAUUAUUAUUAUUGUAAUGUCUAGAAACUCCCCACCAUGAGUGUGGUUCCUGUGUUAUAGAAACUGUAAGCACACGCUCAGGCAGAAGGAGACGGCCCCAUCUCAGAGACGCCUAUGUAUUCAGCCAACAAGGCUGGGGCUGAGUGGCACAGAGAGGUGAAGGGGCUCCACCAAGGCUAGGAAAACUGGUCAGUAGCAGAGCGAGGGAUUAUAACCCCGCUCAGUGCAGUAUCCGCUGACCCGUGUUGCCUCCCUUCUCCAACUCCGUCAGGGUCCGAUGAGAUUUGUAUCUGAGCCCUGGGUUGGAUUUUACAAACAAACCCUCGUGCAAUAUCAGCAGAGAAGCAGAAGCAAACGGCCCCUGCUCAAGGAGCUGAGAGUUUAGAAGCCGGCCAGAGAUUAUGGAGUCUAAAGGAAGUAUUGGUGUUUCAAAAUAAUACCACCAGUUUAUUCUUUUAGCUGGUUUUACACUUAAAGCUCUAGAUACUAGGAUAGGAAUCUACGUGAUGUCCAUGCACAGCUACGGAGCCCAGUCUUUGGGGGCUCGAGGGGCACAUAGGCUUCCUGCAGCUCCUCCACACACAGAUUAAUUUAACAUCAUGCAGCGGCCGUAUAGCUUUGCUGCUUUUUACCAACCGGGUUUUCAAAAGCACCGAUUUAGGAGCGCAGGCCCCAUUGCCCGAGUGCUAAAGAACCAACGUGAGCAUGGAAAGCAGCUCCAGCAGUCGGGAGGCCUUUACACCCUGCCUCAUUAUCUUUUCUUUCUGCUUAUCUCUUUUCUCAGCUGCCCUCUGGGUGCCUGGGUCGCCUGUCGACAUCAGCCCAGGCUUCAAGCAUGAGAGGAGCGUGCAGCGGUGGCGUCAACGCUCAUUGCACACAAAGGAGACCCGGGCCCGAAAUAUCUCCUCUCUGAACUUUGCCUCCUCUUGGGUCGGCCCGCCGGCUCUCAAGAUGCGUUUCCUCUGGAUGCCCAAACUCAGUCUCACCUUACGCCAGGACGUCUUCCGUAAAUCCGUCCUCACUUCUCGACUCAGACUCUGAGCACCGAUGGGAAGGAAAGGGGAGCGGGGAGCGCCCGCAGCCUGGCAGAAACAGAGCUGCUGCUUGCGAGAGCUGCAGGGCGUCAGAUACUCCUGCAGCCGUUCUGAGGCUGACCCGAAAUGCUGGCGGCCAGAUCUGGACCUGAAGGACGGCAGCCACGCUGAAACAGCAGGAUGUGGGAGAGAAUUCAGUUGAGACGGUGGGUCCUAUCUGUACGCCCCCCACCAAGGUACUUCUGCCAGCUUCUCACUGGGCGUUGCACCGGGGCUGUUUAUGACAAGAGGCGCUGAAAACCAGCGUCUGUUCCCGUCACGUGAGAUUCGGCAGCACUCAGGAGCCAGCUGGGAGAAACCAGAACGGAUCCCCUUCUGUUCUUACCUACCACACGCGCCUGAUCCUCGCCGUCCUGUCUCAUCCGACUGCAAGCCGAAGCCUCUGUUGUAUUAAGCGUGGUGACAAAUUGGACGGAGGUCCUUGCUGCGGUCCUCAGUUGCUCGUUUUAAAACACGGCCAAAUCGGCGAACGAAGUUGAGAGCAGAGGAGCCUGCAAGCUGGAAAUAACUCUUGUGUGAAGUCUCAAAGAGUUAAUGUACAACCAAGGAAUUCCUCUAGCCACGUCCCACGGAAAAAGCAACUUAAGUCAUUUCAAGCUCUUCAGGUUCAGUCUGACGUCAGGGUGCAGCACAGCAAGGAUAAGGAACGAUGGUUUUUUUUUCCAUGGUCUUCACCUGCAUUUGAAUGGGCAGCCAGCAGCCCUUCCCAAGCGUGGCCUAGAUUUGUCAGGGCAAGACGUGGCCACCACGUAAUUUAAAUGGAGCAUUAGAUCUGUUACGCUGCUUUAAAAAAUGUGCAUAAAGCAGCCCCUGAGUCCUGUGCAAGAGGGAGCUCAGACCUGCAAGAGGAUGGAGAAUUACGGGUGCAAUUCCAGCCUCCCACCCCUGUGUGCUUCCCACUGUGCAGGCGUGCGCGUGCAUGGGGGGAGGAAAGCCACCGAGUCUUUCUGUCUCCUGAUGAUCAUCUUCAGACGCGGUUUCUGCCUGGCCACCCAGCCUCAGUCUGAAGCACUUGCUGGGAAGGUCUCCAGGGGAAGACACCCUGACAGGGGAUGGAUGAAGCUGGAAGAUGGGACGCUCCCUCCUGGGAUAGUGUUGGAGAAGCUGUGGGCAUUCACAGCCCUAUUCAGCGUAUGGGGGAAGGCUGCCCCUCGAGUCCCAGGGCAGCGCGACGGCCUGGGCUACCUUUCUUGGCAACUGUACGCAUUUGUGUAAGAUGCUUUGCAAAUCCCUUAUCUGAACCAGGAAUGCACAGACCGAAGGGGCCUGUCCUAAAAUUUUCCAGAACCCAAGCUGCAGUAUUACUCCACUUGCUUCUCACCCCAUAAAACAAUACCAGAAAAAGGCACCGACUGGCCCUUAAACACGAACACCAGCAGCAAUGCACGGAUACAAACUUAGGGCCUGAUGCAAAGCCCCUUUAAAGGAGGCUGCCUCAUCAGCUUCAAAGGGUUUUGCAUUGGGCCCCGAUAGUGAAAUCCUGGCCCCACUGCCGUUAAUGGCAAAACUCCCAAUGACUUCAAAGGGGCAGAAUUUCACUCUUACUCAACAACUGUGAAUGGCUGUUUUAAAACGCUCGCCCAUUGUACUACCUGUUUCUAUCAGCAGGGGAAAAAAACAAUUCCCUCUUUAUGGGGCCGUGCAGCAUGCCAAGUGAGAGAUCACUUUAGAGACUUAAAGAAGCAGAGGCUUUUUGCUAUUUAUGAGGGAAGAGUGCCCCAGGUAACUGAAUCUCGGAGAACCAGGAUCCCGCUAAUGUACGAGGAACCAUAAAGUGAAACGUUAGAAGUUGGCUAGCAGCAAACGCGAGGCAGACUCGUCUACCUUCGUUGUCUCCCAUGAACGAAGUGCAAAAAAAGGUAAAUAAACCAGAAGGGAAAUGUCUUUUCCACUCCGUUUUUUAAAACAUUUAAUCUCCCUCCAAUCUAUGCACUACCACGGCAUUUGGUGUCAUACUAGCAAAACGGGGAGAAUUUUUUUUUUUUUUUAAAGAAAUCCCUUUAAACUCAAUGGCAGCCUUGGCAAAGGAGGCUGAGGCCCUCUGACCUAACGAGAGCCCGAGAUAAGGGUUUCUUUUGAAAUUUCCAUCUAAAACCACCACCUGUGCGGUAGUAUCCUAUGGCCCAAAACAAACUCCACGUCUGCUGAAAUGGUGUCACUUCAGCAGGGCUGAUUUUUCCACUUGCAGAGCACUUCAAGAAUUAUCUCUGCAUUUUUUUUGUUGUUGUCAAGGGACAGUAGCAUCAAAUAUUUAGUGAUUAUAAACAGAGCAGAAUAAAAAAAAAAAAAAAGCAACUGCCUGAAACGAGAGCUCAGGAUCUGAUUUCUUCUAACCGGAUGCCUGCAAGAUGUCACUGAAUUCUCUCUCCGUGCAACCCGCGUGGAGCCAAUAUGAACUCCCAGCAAAGUGCUUAAAAACCCAUUAUUUAUAAUAACUGUUAAAUGAUGAGACAUUGUUUACCCAGAUCGCAAGAUAAAUUCUCACUUACAGAAUGCUUGUCUGACUGUCCUGAACAUCAUCUGGUUUUUAUUUAAAUGCAAAAUGUAAUUACUCUCAAUAACACAGCAGAAGAAUUCAAUAAGAUAUGGCUUUGCACUUAUGGUUUAAUAUUAACAUUUCCCCAUAAACGUUAAUGAAUAAAAGUCUACUGCUGUAUAUUUUACAUGCGAUUGAGAGGAAGGGAGGGAGGGAAAUAUUUUCAUAUCUGGAGCGCAACACUGAAUUCAAGGGGAGCUCGGGGUUUUCAGACCCUGGCUGAGACAGCACCUCCUGCCGGCAUCAGACUCAAAGCGUCACAUCCAGAAAAGACAGAUCCCAAGCGUUCAAGAAGUGGCAGGAGGUAGCACGAGGCUGAAUGACUGCGUCUGUAAGUAAGGCCUCUGUUGAGAGAAAUCACUCUGGUCUUUUCCUCAUGUCUGUUGUGCACCUAGUACCAUCAGCACUGGACCAUCUGCGGCCUGGACUACAGCAGCACUUACAGUCUGCUCCCACUGGUCUGGGUACGCCUGCGAUGGAUGCGGUCUCUUUGUGUGGCCCCUUUGAGACGUACCUCCAACAGCAGCCGCCCCGCAGUAGCCUGCCCACUUUCGGGGCACCCGUGCAAAGGGGUUGCCCCUUGGUGAGAGGGUUCUGGCAGCCGCUUUGCACGGUUUAAGCAAGAUCCAUAGAGCAGAGGAGCCCGCUCGCCCGAGCUUCGUGUCCUCAGGCAAAAGACUGCUAAGGGCGUGACUCUUCACUGCAUUACUGAACAGCAAUGAUGUUGGUGCAGCGGGUUCAACGGAUGCAGUGACGUACACUGAAGGUAGCACUGGGAUGAACUAGGCCCACGGCACUUAAGGAGCAUGUUCUUUGCUGAUCUCAAAUUGCUUUGCUAAAGGGGGAUUUGUCCCCAUUCUACAGCCGACAAAACCAAGGCGCACGUGCUUGCCUGACAGCAGAAAACAGGUCAGUGCCAGAGCUGGAAUCAGAAGGUCGGUCCCCUGACACCCCUCCCACGGUGCCACGAUGCUGCCAGCAGCACGUGCCAGCUAGUGGAUGGCAUACGCACACAUUGCUGCUGCUUAAAAAUUCAUGCUCAUGUGUGGGAGGGUCAGCCUCGGCCCGCAGGACUCGUGUGCCAGCUUUGCCUUCACCCCUCUAUCACACUGCCAACCAGAAUAGGAUUUGGCAUAUAAAACACCUGUAUACACUUCCAUCUGAUUCAGACACUGGAUGAUAGGGGCCAUUUACGCCUAUCUAGAAACAUAUAUUUCCCCUACCCCAUGCUGCGUCCUACAUGCAAACGCUUGCAAGAGGCUUCGAAAGAAUUGUGGGGAGCAGAGACGGGAAAAGUCCUCUUAGACAAAGCAGUCCAUUGCACGUGGCUAGCGCAGAAGUGGCCCCCAUCUCAUUUCCAGAGCUUUGGCUUUGGCUUGUAAAGGGAAGGUUUAAUAAAAUGAGAGCUUUUCAACCCAGGCAGCGCGAUUCAAAAAAAGAACUUAGAGGCCUACUAAAACCCGGCAGGUUUGGGGAACAUAGAAAUAGGCUUCAUUAAGUAGCAAAUGCCUUCCAAGGGCCUGAUGCAACAAAAAGGCCCUUGCAGGAUGAGACACAAGAGAGCACCUCUGUGCUCCUGUUCCCACUGAAAUCAAUGUCAAGAGCCCCAAGGAUGCGAAAAAGCUUGUUGCUUUAAAAGGUCCCCAGUGCACAUCAACACAGAUGAGCAAAGCCAAGCUAAAAGGCAGGCUGCUUACCAUCUCAGAUGAAAUGCUGGUGUCUUGUGGUAAGGAAAAUAAUUUACUUAAUCGCUUAAAAAAACCCCAACAACAACAAAUCUCUUAGGAGAAAGUCAAUUGUUUGCCUGCUAACUGCUCUGAGACAAAGCAACGGAAGGGAAAUGUCCAGUUCCAAUCAUUUCGUAACCUGAUUACAGCCCGCACAGAAGAGCUGAAACACUUGGAGAACAAUGAUUAAGAAAUUAAGCUUCAAAUUAAGUGUGCGCCCUAUAUGGGCCUGCUUCUUCCUAUGAUACUGGAAAGGACACGGCUGGGCUCGUUCCACGCGCGAGCUGGCGAUGCGAGCGUACAGCCCAGCGAUGAAUCAUCUCAGACAUUUCCCGACCCCCCCCGCCACCCCACCAUUUCUUUCUCCAAGAGGAAUGACAAAUCUAGAAAUGGCACUGCACUUUGUUUCAUGACGGUAUCGAUUUUCCUGCACAGGAAAAGUGCAUUUGUCCUCUCGGCCCGCAGGCUGGCAAGAAAGGGUUAACCAAAUGUUUAUCACAAGGCUGGCUUCAGAGUUGAAAGUAAUGUGAUCAGUAAUGAAUUUUGUGUUACAUUAGGUUGUAUAAAUGGACAGACAAGCGCAGACAACAAGUGGCCAGGAGUCGGGGCUAAUCUAAUGAUGUAAAAAUAGAGACAGCACCAAUUAUACUUGGGGCCAGCUCAGAGCUCCUGCAGGGACUGCAAAUGAAUAGGUACAAAUCAAAUUACUGACUAAUAGACGCACUACAAGAGAGGGCAGUCAAUGCUAAAUGCAUUAGGGCCUUGUGACCUCCCUGCUCUGAACAGCAGAAUCCUAAAUUUGACUUAAAAAAAAAAAAAUCAAAGAAACUCUUGUUCAGUUAAGAAGAGAGAUACAACAAUGUGACUUGUGAAAUGAUUUAAAACGUUCACAUUUCCCCCCACCUCGUCCCUUUGUUAGGAUAUUCUGUAUGGCUCGGGCAUUGCUUCAAACCUUUUUCCAAUCUGACCCAGGGUUUUUGCUUUGUCAAAACAUGGAGAAAUAGUCUUUGUGCAAAAGUUAAGACCUGAGAACAAUACAGUUAUG